CAACCCUCGGGCCCUCCCUUCGCGGGGAACGGGCCCGGCGUUGGGGACCGGAGGCCGCCCCGGCGGCACCCGCCCCCUAAAUUCAGUGGCGGUCGCGCCGCAGCCUCCCCCGCGUAGUAGCACACCUCGCACCGGAGAGCGGCACGGCCACGCCUCGAAACCCCCCAAUUUUUUCA
rnacentral:misc_RNA from 1 species